AGAGUCAUAUGCUUGUCUCAAAGCUUAAGCCAUGCAAGUCUCAGUACAGACUAUAUUAAAGUGAAACCGCAAAAGGCUCAGUAAACCAGUUUUAAUUUACUAGAGUUAACUUGACUGUGCUUGGAUAACUGUGGUAAUUCUAGAGCUAAUACAUGCAACAAAGCCGUGACCAUUCGUGGUCAGGGCGCUUUUAUUAGACCAAGACCAAUCGCCCGGCCAGUCCGGGCGUUAAGUUGAGGAACCUAGAUAACACAGCAGAUCGCAUGGUCUUUGUACCGGCGACCUAUCUUUCAAAUGCCUGACUUAUCAACUGACGAUGGUAGACUCUGUGUCUACCAUGGCUGUUACGGGUAACGGGGAAUCAGGGUUCGAUUCCGGAGAGGGAGCCUGAGAAACGGCUACCACAUCCAAGGAAGGCAGCAGGCACGCAAAUUACCCACUCCCGGAACGGGGAGGUAGUGACAAAAAAUAACGAUACGGGACUCGAUAUGAGGCCUCGUAAUCGGAAUGAGUACACUCUAAAUCCUUUAACAAAAAUCUAUUGGAGGGCAAGUCUGGUGCCAGCAGCCGCGGUAAUUCCAGCUCCAAUAGCGUAUAUUAAAGUUGUUGCGGUUAAAAAGCUCGUAGUUGGUUCUGCGUCCCGCGCUGUCGGUACACCGUUUGUCGGUGACACUGGCAUGACGCGGGAUGUCCUGUCGGUGGCGGCGGAGACCAUAUCGCCGUCGGCUAACACCGCGGCGUGUUGGCCUUCUGUCGCCGGCUUUAUCCUACCGCGGUGCUCUUCACUGAGUGUCGAGGUAGGCCGACACGUUUACUUUGAACAAAUUAGAGUGCUUAAAGCAGGCAAAAAUCUCUGCCAGAAUAGUGGUGCAUGGAAUAAUGGAACAGGACCUUGGUUCUAUUCUGUUGGUCUCCGGAACACAAGGUAAUGAUCAAUGUGGACAGGCGGGGGCAUUCGUAUUGCGGCGUUAGAGGUGAAAUUCUUGGAUCGUCGCAAGACGCACUAGAGCGAAAGCAAUUGCCAAGUAUGUCUUAAUUGAUCAAGAACGAAAGUUAGAGGUUCGAAGGCGAUCAA
rnacentral:rRNA from 1 species